rnacentral:rRNA from 1 species
UAUUAAAACUGUCUUAUUCAAUUUGGUAAAUCUGGAACUCCAGGUUCUACAGCGAGAGGGAUCAGCAUCGAUCUGGAUCCUUUAACUACCGAUAGGAUGGAGGGGAUACCAUCAUCUUAGAGAUCAAGUCUUGAGUCCGAGGAAGUAUGUCGCAAGACUGAACUAAGAAAUGACGGAAGGCACCACAGGAGGGAGCUGCGGCUUAUUUGACUCAACACGGGAACUUACCAGUCCAGACAUAGUAAGGAUGACAGAUUGAUAGCUCUUUCUUGAUUCUAUGGGUGGUGGUGCAUGGCCGUUCUUAGUUGGUGGAGUGAUUUGUCUGGUUAAUUCCGAUAACGAACGAGACCGUAGCAUGCUAACUAGAUACUUUCAUUUUAUGAAUAUAUAUUCUUAGAGGGACUAUAUGCCUGAAGUAUGUGCGAAGUCUGAGGCAAUAACAGAAUCAUGUGAUGCCCUUAUAUGUCUUGGAUUACGAUGUUGGCUACACUGAUAUAUACAACAAGUGCCUAGCUAGAUAUAGUAUGGCAAUCUCGAAUAUAUAUCGUGAUGGGGAUAGAUCUUUGCAAUUAUAGAUCUUGAACGAGGAAUUCCUAGUAAGUGCAAGUCAUCAUCUUGCAUUGACUAUGUCCCUGCCCUUUGUACACACCGCCCGUCGCUCCUACCGAUACCGAAGAUCCGGUGAACCUUUUGGACCUUUACGGGGAAGAUUGAAACCAUUCAGAAUGAGAACUGUGCACCGCGAGGGUUAGCUCGAAUCACUGAAGUCU